ensembl:lncRNA
AUGAGGCUCUGGAUCAUCCUCCCCUGGACUGCCCAGGCAUGGGAACUCCAUCCCUCUGUCCCACAGGGCCAAACUGCAGACCCCCCAGCCUUCCCCAAACACCUGCAUCCAGGGCAUUUAGGAGCUGAUUCCCCAGGGCAGGGCUGCACUUUGGGCAUUUGUUCUCCCUUUACAGCUCAGCUGCCACGAUGCAACAAAGACAAUGGUUUGGAUGGACACAAAAUCCAUUUCUGGUGUGUGCAGUGCAAGUGUGGAGGAAUUCCUGUUGGCCUGAACCAUCCGCUCUCCUGUGAGCACCUGACACUGCACAGAGCCAAAGGUGGGAUCACUACAAGGGGAUCUUCUCUUCCUCCUGCUCUCUUCAUCAUCACAGCCCAGAAACUCCUCUCCACUGGAGAAGCCCCAGCAGCAGAGCCCUUCUUGCGCUCUGUGGAUGCUGCAGGGCAAAGCCUGUGGUGGCCCCUUGGUUUGGGCUCUGCAGCUCUCAGCACCCAGAAGAAGCUCUGCCAACACCUCCUGCUUCUGCUGCAUCCUUGCACACUGUCUGAUGAUCUGAGAGCUUUUCCCAGCCCAAAUGAGCUGCAGUGAGCAGAGCCAGAGAUGAAAAUGAACUCCAGUGAUGCCUUUUUCCUGCAGGAAGAUGAGGAUGGGCAAGUCCUUCCUCUGAGGUGCCCUUCAGCCCAACACUGGGACACUGCUGCCGAGCUGGGCUCAGCUUUGUUUUCUCUCCCAAAGUAAAAGACAGGCUGAAACUAGGACAAAACAACAAAGAGGGAGAGACAAAAAGGGAGAGCCUGGGUUUGAAUUGACAGAAACCCCAGGAACCGGAGUGCAGCCCAGUAAAUAUUGGAAUGACAUUACCUGAGCUUGAGAAAAAAUUGACAAAUUGUUAGGCUGAAUUCCUGUCUCUAGUGGAACUGGAGAGCAACCACCAUGGAGAUAACGUUAUUUCCUUUAAUCAUUUUCUUUGGCAAGAGAAUCAGAAGGAAAAAGCUCCAGAGUGACUCUUAUUAUAUUUUCCCUCCCUCUGCCUUUUCUUUCUGAUUCCCUCCAUCGUUCCCAGCUCUGUCAAGAUUGUGACAAACUUAAUUACCAGCAAACAGCAGGAAUCCCAGAUGACAUAUCCAUGGUUUUUUCUUUCUUCUGACUUCAUGAGAUCUUUCUGGUCUUUAAUGUAGAGUGAAUGAGGACGGGGAGCAGAUGGUGCUGGUGUCCAAUACCAGCAGCAUCUGAGCCCUUAUCUCCUUGAGAUCUUCAGUGUCAGGAUGGGAUGUGGAUAACAAAACCUGAGUGAUGAGAUUCAGGGGUGGAGGUUCAGAAAACGGGAUUGUGCAUGACAGGCCCAGAUCUGCCAUUUGGGGGCUGUCAUAGAAACCUGCACUCAUUUCAGGGCUGCUCACAGCAGGGACUGCACAGCCCAGGCCUCUUGCUCCAAGCUCCUGGCACCAGGAUAAGGCACCUUUGUGCCUCCUGCAUCUGUAAAUUUGAUGCUCGUUGGCUAUAAAACAAGAGCUGGGUGAAACAUUGUCAUUUGCAGGGAGUUUGCCCUAAAACCAUGUUUCUAGGGCGUGAAACAGCUCAGGGUGAG